rnacentral:rRNA from 1 species
UACGAAGGGGGCUAGCGUUGCUCGGAAUCACUGGGCGUAAAGCGCACGUAGGCGGAUUGCUAAGUCAGGGGUGAAAUCCUGGAGCUCAACUCCAGAACUGCCUUUGAUACUGGCGGUCUCGAGUCCGGGAGAGGUGAGUGGAACUGCGAGCGUAGAGGUGAAAUUCGUAGAUAUUCGCAAGAACACCAGUGGCGAAGGCGGCUCACUGGCCCGGUACUGACGCUGAGGUGCGAAAGCGUGGGGAGCAAACAGG